AGCGGAUCAGAAACCCUUGACUUGGGAAGAUGCAUCAUACAAAUUUAUUUGUCCAAUAUGGCGUGUUCGGGUGAAAUGCUAUACCUGAAUGCGAUGAGGCAUGAAUAGUGCUCUCGGUCUUACAUAAGGGAUAAAAAGAGAAAAUUAACAUGAUGAUUGGGAGGAAAGUUAAAAGGACAAGCAGCAAUAGUGUAUUAACUGAAACCAAAAAUAAGAUAUUCAUUUGGGUUCCAAUUAAAAAGAAAAUAGACGGUGACUGUACAUGUAAUCAUACUGUAGCAUUUUCUGUUUUGUUUUAUUUUGAAAAAACAACAUUUUUCUUAUUGUAAACGAUUUCCUUAUUAAUAUUUGUAUAAAUGUCAAUUAUUGGGGUGAUACUCUUACACUCGUCACAAGAAAUUCCCUUGUAUCCAAAUGUACAUUCACAAACAAAUGAGUUGACUUUGUCAAUGCAGCUGCCAUGACCACAAGGUGAGCUCAAACAUUCAUUUAUAUCUAAUGGAUAAAAACCAAAUAAGAUAUACACAAACAACGCGUUUUCAUUGAAACUGAAUAUACCUUAAUGUUUAAGAAACAUGUUAUUCUGAUUAUCUAGUUUCCAACUGAGAAAAAUGUUCUUUUAAAUAUGUUUUUUGUUUUCUCUUACUCAAAACAAAAUUGCAAGAAAAACUU
rnacentral:sRNA from 1 species